GACGAACGCUGGCGGCGUGCUUAACACAUGCAAGUCGAACGGAAAGGCCCUGCUUUUGUGGGGUGCUCGAGUGGCGAACGGGUGAGUAACACGUGUGUAACCUGCCCUUGACUUUGGGAUAACUUCAGGAAAUUGGGGCUAAUACCGGAUAGGAGCUCCUGCUGCAUGGUGGGGGUUGGAAAGUUUCGGCGGUUGGGGAUGGACUCGCGGCUUAUCAGCUUGUUGGUGGGGUAGUGGCUUACCAAGGCUUUGACGGGUAGCCGGCCUGAGAGGGUGACCGGCCACAUUGGGACUGAGAUACGGCCCAGACUCCUACGGGAGGCAGCAGUGGGGAAUAUUGCACAAUGGGCGGAAGCCUGAUGCAGCAACGCCGCGUGCGGGAUGACGGCCUUCGGGUUGUAAACCGCUUUCGCCUGUGACGAAGCGUGAGUGACGGUAAUGGGUAAAGAAGCACCGGCUAACUACGUG
rnacentral:rRNA from 1 species